rnacentral:rRNA from 1 species
AACGAACGCUGGCGGCGUGCCUUACACAUGCAAGUCGAGCGAGAAAGCCCGCAAGGGUGAGUAAAGCGGCGCACGGGUGAGUAAUACGUUGGUAAUCUGCCCUAGAGUUCGGGAUAACUCUCCGAAAGGGGUGCUAAUACCGGAUAAGACCACGGGAGCUUAUGCUCCUGAGGGAAAAGGUGGCCUCUGCAUGCAAGCCAUCACUCUAGGAUGAGCCCGCGGCCCAUCAGCUAGUUGGCGGGGUAACGGCCCACCAAGGCUACGACGGGUAGCUGGUCUGAGAGGAUGAUCAGCCACACUGGAACUGAGACACGGUCCAGACUCCUACGGGUGGCAG